rnacentral:rRNA from 1 species
AUGGAGCCGACCUUGAAAUACCACCCUUUAAUGUUUGAUGUUCUAACGUGGACCCGUAAUCCGGGUUGCGGACAGUGUCUGGUGGGUAGUUUGACUGGGGCGGUCUCCUCCUAAAGAGUAACGGAGGAGCACGAAGGUUGGCUAAUCCUGGUCGGACAUCAGGAGGUUAGUGCAAUGGCAUAAGCCAGCUUGACUGCGAGCGUGACGGCGCGAGCAGGUGCGAAAGCAGGUCAUAGUGAUCCGGUGGUUCUGAAUGGAAGGGCCAUCGCUCAACGGAUAAAAGGUACUCCGGGGAUAACAGGCUGAUACCGCCCAAGAGUUCAUAUCGACGGCGGUGUUUGGCACCUCGAUGUCGGCUCAUCACAUCCUGGGGCUGAAGUAGGUCCCAAGGGUAUGGCUGUUCGCCAUUUAAAGUGGUACGCGAGCUGGGUUUAGAACGUCGUGAGACAGUUCGGUCCCUAUCUGCCGUGGGCGCUGGAGAACUGAGGGGGGCUGCUCCUAGUACGAGAGGACCGGAGUGGACGCAUCACUGGUGUUCGGGUUGUCAUGCCAAUGGCACUGCCCGGUAGCUAAAUGCGGAAGAGAUAAGUGCUGAAAGCAUCUAAGCACGAAACUUGCCCCGAGAUGAGUUCUCCCUGAGACUUAGAGUCUCCUGAAGGAACGUUGAAGACGACGACGUUGAUAGGCCGGGUGUGUAAGCGCAGCGAUGCGUUGAGCUAACCGGUACUAAUGAACCGUGAGGCUUAACCUUAC